rnacentral:rRNA from 1 species
GAUGAACGCUGGCGGCGUGCCUAAUACAUGCAAGUCGAGCGAACGGACGAGAAGCUUGCUUCUCUGAUGUUAGCGGCGGACGGGUGAGUAACACGUGGAUAACCUACCUAUAAGACUGGGAUAACUUCGGGAAACCGGAGCUAAUACCGGAUGAUAUUUUGAACCGCAUGGUUCAAAAGUGAAAGACGGUCUUGCUGUCACUUAUAGAUGGAUCCGCGCUGCAUUAGCUAGUUGGUAAGGUAACGGCUUACCAAGGCAACGAUGCAUAGCCGACCUGAGAGGGUGAUCGGCCACACUGGAACUGAGACACGGUCCAGACUCCUACGGGAGGCAGCAGUAGGGAAUCUUCCGCAAUGGGCGAAAGCCUGGCGGAGCAACGCCGCGUGAGUGAUGAAGGUCUUCGGAUCGUAAAACUCUGUUAUUAGGGAAGAACAUAUGUGUAGGUAACUGUGCACAUCUUGACGGUACCUAAUCAGAAAGCCACGGCUAACUACGUG